rnacentral:rRNA from 1 species
UUGAUCCUGGCUCAGGACGAACGCUGGCGGCGUGCCUAAUACAUGCAAGUCGAGCGGACAGAUGGGAGCUUGCUCCCUGAUGUUAGCGGCGGACGGGUGAGUAACACGUGGGUAACCUGCCUGUAAGACUGGGAUAACUCCGGGAAACCGGGGCUAAUACCGGAUGGUUGUUUGAACCGCAUGGUUCAAACAUAAAAGGUGGCUUCGGCUACCACUUACAGAUGGACCCGCGGCGCAUUAGCUAGUUGGUGAGGUAAYGGCUCACCAAGGCAACGAUGCGUAGCCGACCUGAGAGGGUGAUCGGCCACACUGGGACUGAGACACGGCCCAGACUCCUACGGGAGGCAGCAGUAGGGAAUCUUCCGCAAUGGACGAAAGUCUGACGGAGCAACGCCGCGUGAGUGAUGAAGGUUUUCGGAUCGUAAAGCUCUGUUGUUAGGGAAGAACAAUACCGUUCGAAUA